rnacentral:rRNA from 1 species
UACGAAGGGGGCUAGCGUUGCUCGGAAUCACUGGGCGUAAAGCGCACGUAGGCGGAUUGCUAAGUCAGGGUGAAAUCCUGGAGCUCAACUCCAGAACUGCCUUUGAUACUGGCGAUCUUGAGUCCGGGAGAGGUGAGUGGAACUGCGAGUGUAGAGGUGAAAUUCGUAGAUAUUCGCAAGAACACCAGUGGCGAAGGCGGCUCACUGGCCCGGUACUGACGCUGAGGUGCGAAAGCGUGGGAGCAACAGG